rnacentral:rRNA from 1 species
GAUGAACGCUGGCGGCGUGCUUAACACAUGCAAGUCGAACGAAGCAUUUCUGUUGGAAUCGAUUAGUUUACUAACAGAGGACAUUUGAAAUGACUGAGUGGCGAACGGGUGAGUAACGCGUGGAUAACCUGCCUUAUACAGGGGGAUAACAGUUAGAAAUGACUGCUAAUACCGCAUAAGACCACAGAGUCGCAUGACUUAGUGGUAAAAACUCCGGUGGUAUAAGAGGGAUCCGCGUUGGAUGAGCUAGUUGGUGAGGAAUUGGCUCAACAAGGCGACGAGCCAUAGCCGGCCUGAGAGGGUGAACGGCCACAUUGAGGCUGAGACACGGCCCAGACUCCUACGGGAGGCAGCAGUGGGGAAUAUUGCACAAUGGAGGAAACUCUGAUGCAGCGACGCCGCGUGAAGGAUGAAGUAUUUCGGUAUGUAUACUUCUAUCAGCAGGGAAGAAAUUGACGGUACCUGACUAAGAAGCCCCGGCUAAUUACGUGCCAGCCGCCGCGGUAA